rnacentral:rRNA from 1 species
CCUACGGGAGGCAGCAGUGGGGAAUAUUGCGCAAUGGGCGAAAGCCUGACGCAGCGACGCCGCGUGAGGGAUGAAGGUCUUCGGAUCGUAAACCUCUGUCAGCAGGGAAGAACGGUCACUGUGCUAAUCAGCAGUGAAUUGACGGUACCUGCAAAGGAAGCACCGGCUAACUCCGUGCCAGCAGCCGCGGUAAUGCGGAGGGUGCGAGCGUUAAUCGGAAUUACUGGGCGUAAAGCGCUCGUAGGCGGUAUGGCAAGUCAAGGGUGAAAUCCCCGCGCUCGAGGUGGGAACUGCCUUGGAAACUGGGGAACUGGAGUGGGGGAGGGGCUAGGGGGAGUGCAGGGGUAGGGGUGAAAUGCGUAGAGAUGUGGAGGAACAGCAGUGGCGAAGGCGAG